CGACCACGGCAGGAUUCGAACCUGCAAUCUUCUGCUCCGUAGGCAGACGCGUGAUCCAUUGCGCCACGCGGCC
rnacentral:tRNA from 1 species